rnacentral:rRNA from 1 species
AUACGGAGGGUGCAAGCGUUAAUCGGAAUUACUGGGCGUAAAGCGCGCGUAGGCGGAUUGUUAAGUCUCAUGUGAAAGCCCUGGGCUCAACCUGGGAACUGCAUGGGAUACUGGCAAUCUAGAAUACAGUAGAGGGUAGUGGAAUUUCAGGUGUAGCGGUGAAAUGCGUAGAGAUCUGAAGGAACAUCAGUGGCGAAGGCGACUACCUGGACUGAUAUUGACGCUGAGGUGCGAAAGCGUGGGGAGCAAACGGGAUUAGAAACCCGAGUAGUCC